GCUGGGUGUGUUGGCGCAUGCCUGUAAUCCCAGCAGCUUGGGAGGCUGAGGCAGGAGGAUCAUGAGUUUAAAGCCAGAUUCAGCAACAUCGAGGCGCUAAGCAAUUCAGUGAGGCCCUGUCGUUA
rnacentral:sRNA from 1 species